UUUUUCUUUUUCCUUCUAAUUUUCCCAGAAUCAAACCCACCUACAUCUCUAGCAUCCCCUAUCAGAACAAAUCGAUUUUCUUCCUUUUCAUCUGAAAAAGCAGAGCAAUUUAUCUCUCCUUGGGUUUCUUAAGUUUUGGACUUUUUAGAAGAUCCAGGUUCAUCUACUUCAAUAGCGGAGAUGUAAUCAUCAGAUUCAGAACUAGAAUUAGACUCAUUUGCUGGGAUUGGUUUCUUCUGGCUGGACUGAAGUUUUUCAUUUAAAGCUUUCCUCAGAGAACCAGCAGCUACAGCUUUUCUUGCUAGCAUUUUCUGGCACCGGAAUCUAGGUUUUGGGGUUUCGACCGGUGGUGUGGAAGAUGAGGUGUUGGUGAAGCAGGUGGUGGAGUACCAGGGUUGUCUUGGGGAUUUGUCAUGGCGAAAGAUUUCUGAAAAACCUAAGAAGAUUUUGAUUGUGUGAAGAAUGUUGGAGUGUUUCAGAAACGAGAGAGAGAGAGAGAGAGAG
rnacentral:lncRNA from 1 species